rnacentral:misc_RNA from 1 species
UCCGGGUUUCGCCCGGCAGUCUCCCUAGAACAUUCAACCGGGCUCCUGUGUUUUCUAGCCCAGGUAAGGUUCUUCGCGUUGCGUCGAAUUAAACCACAUGCUCCACCGCUUGUGCGGGCCCCCGUCAAUUCCUUUGAGUUUUAGCCUUGCGGCCGUACUUCCCAGGCGGGGUGCUUAAUGCGUUAGCUGCGGCACCGCAGGGGUCAAAGCCCGCGACACCUAGCACCCAUCGUUUACGGCGUGGACUAC